CAGAGAGAAAUUCUCUUGAUCAAUUGUUCUUGACAGAUGUGUAUAUGGCAGUGUAUUAGGCAUCGCUCUUAAAUGUCUUUUUUUUAGAUUGUACGUGGAAAUCUAGGAAGAUUCAUUCAUUUGUUUGUUUGGUUUGGUUUAUUUGUAUGGUUUUAGUAAAACAAAAUCAUUGAUAUUUCUGUUUCCUGCAACAUCUCUCCAGAACUCUCCAGGAUGUACCCCACCCACGCCCACCUGUUGCCUGGAUAGGCUCCAGCAACCCUCGAAAUUAUCAUACAGAUUAUUUGGAAAGUGGAUGGAUGGAUAUUUUAUGCUGUUAAACGCACAUCCCAUUAAUUGCCCAAGGCGCUUUGCAAUCACAGACCCAUUCACCCAGUCACACACUGGUGGGGGCUCUGCUGCCGUACACUGGGACCAACCUACCACCAGAGGCAAGAUGGGGUUCAGUGUCUUGCCCAAGGACACUUCGACACAUGGGUGUACACCGGGAAUUGAACUUGCAAUCUUACAAUGAUGGGUCGACCGCCCUACCACUGCACCACUGCACCACGACCACCCGUGAUAAGGAUCCAGACCUCUUCCAGUCGCCGCUGAGACACCCCACGAACCGCAGACUGACACACAAGAAACAAGAGCACACACUCUUCUCGGACCUACUUUAGUUUUUUUCAUGCAGUGAACUUGAGCUUUUUUCCUCUAGUCUAAUGUAUGACUAGAUGAUCAAUAAUUACUCUAGAUUUCUUUGCCGCUUCAAAAACAUCCAUGGCUCC